rnacentral:rRNA from 1 species
GGGGAAUAUUGCACAAUGGGCGAAAGCCUGAUGCAGCGACGCCGCGUGAAGGAUGAAGUAUUUCGGUAUGUAAACUUCUAUCAGCAGGGAAGAAAAUGACGGUACCUGACUAAGAAGCCCCGGCUAACUACGUGCCAGCAGCCGCGGUAAUACGUAGGGGGCAAGCGUUAUCCGGAUUUACUGGGUGUAAAGGGAGCGUAGACGGCUGUGCAAGUCUGAAGUGAAAGGCAUGGGCUCAACCUGUGGACUGCUUUGGAAACUGUGCAGCUAGAGUGUCGGAGAGGUAAGUGGAAUUCCUAGUGUAGCGGUGAAAUGCGUAGAUAUUAGGAGGAACACCAGUGGCGAAGGCGGCUUACUGGACGAUGACUGACGUUGAGGCUCGAAAGCGUGGGGAGCAAACAGGAUUAGAUACCCUGGUAGUCCACGCUGUAAACGAUGAAUACUAGGUGUUGGGGGAUUGACCCCCUCAGUGCCGCAGUUAACACAAUAAGUAAUCCACCUGGGGAGUACGACCGCAAGGUUGAAACUCAAAGGAAUUGACGGGGGCCCGCACAAGCAGUGGAGUAUGUGGUUUAAUUCGAAGCAACGCGAAGAACCUUACCAGGUCUUGACAUCCGAUGCAUAACACAGAGAUGUGUGAAAUCCUUCGGGACAUCGAGACAGGUGGUGCAUGGUUGUCGUCAGCUCGUGUCGUGAGAUGUUGGGUUAAGUCCCGCAACGAGCGUAACCCUUAUCUUUAGUAGCCAGCGGUUAAGCCGGGCACUCUAGAGAGACUGCCAGGGAUAACCUGGAGGAAGGCGGGGAUGACGUCAAAUCAUCAUGCCCCUUAUGACUUGGGCUACACACGUGCUACAAUGGCGUAAACAAAGGGAAGCAAAGCUGUGAAGCCGAGCAAAUCUCAAAAAUAACGUCUCAGUUCGGACUGUAGUCUGCAACCCGACUACACGAAGCUGGAAUCGCUAGUAAUCGCAGAUCAGAAUGCUGCGGUGAAUACGUUCCCG